UUUAGGCUUUAUGAGGUAAAUAGAAGAGUGAUUGGAGCGGGCGCUGAUGGGUGCGGCUCCCCGGGGAGAGGCUCCUGAGAGCGGGAUGUGAGCAGAGUGAGGAGCCGCUGCCGGAGGCAUUACAAUAAUAGUAAUACAUUUCUGAAGAAAUGUAUCACAAAUACUUCACUAUUACAAUAGAAAAAUGAUAUUCUUGAGCUUUUGGAGCCCAGAGACUCCUUCAUCAAAGAGGCUACAGAAUGACUGCAAGCAAAGCCCAACAUGCAAGAGAUUUUGCAACAAAAAUGCUCUGGAUGCCAGGUCUGUCCAAGAGCUGUGACUAAAUUCUGUAAAAAAAAAAUAAAAAUGUCAAUAAAGAAUAUCUUAGCUAUGGAAGAACUACAAUAGAACAAAACUAGAAGGAGCCAAGGGCGAUGGCAAGAUGUAGGAGAAAAGAAGAUAGAGAGCUGCAGACAAUUAGUGCAAAAAACUGUAGGAAAAAUGCUUGGUAAAUAUCAGAAGAAAUAUUAAAAAGGACAAGCCCCUUCUAUGGUUUCAGAGCUGCUUUGUCAGUCUCUGUGUAAAAUCAGAAAAAUGGCCUACAGAAACACAUGAUAAAUCUGUUGGCAAAACUCUGAACACCUGAAAAUAAUUUUUGUGCAGAUAUUAUUGUCUUGUAUUUCUUUAUAUUGUGCAUCCAUCCAUGUGAUCCAGACACCCUCUGCUGCCUACAGUAGGAGCUGGUGAACCAUUGUCUUACACUAGAGACAGUGUCUUGGGAUGUCCUCCUGCAGAAGCCAGAAGAGGCCACUAACUUGUGCCCUGUAUUAACUUUAUUGUGAAUGUUGCAGAGCUGAAAGUGCUGCCCUGCAGUGUCUGCACGUAGGGUUGAGUUACAUCCAUUUAACUUCUUUGAUGAAUGCACGUUGAGCACAUGAAUGAUGCUGACAGCUCCUGUGAGACUGAGCUGAGGUCUGGGCCUAGUCAGUCAUUGAGCUCCUGAUGGAAAGGAACGUGACUGAAGCCUAAAUGGAGAGAAGCAUCCAGUUCUUGUUACUAGAAUUGGAUGCUCAACAGCCCUAAGUAAAGUCUGAGGCUUUCAAGAGGUAUGUGCAGUGAUGGCGAUUGGCAGGGGGGGGGGGGUUGCGGGGUUGGUUGCAGAUUGUGGACUUUGUAACUUUGUACCUGAACUGUGUUGAUAGGGACCACACACUGUGUGAAGUGAUCAGGAGUGAUUUCAGAAACGGGCAGCAUGCUAUCAGGCUCAGAGAUGGGGCAAACUGUGGUAAAAGGGUAUGUCCCUCAGACCCACAGUAUAAUGGAAAGAUUGGGUGAGAGCCAUCAGCUAUGUUGGGUGCAACCUGACCCUUGGAGGGCU